CGCCUAACACAUGCAGUCGAACGGACUUACAGAGAGCUUGCUUUUUGUAAGUUAGUGGCGGACGGGUGAGUAACACGUGAGCAACCUGCCCUUGAGAGGGGGAUAGCUUCUGGAAACGGAUGGUAAUACCCCAUAACAUAUAUUUUAGGCAUCUAAGAUAUAUCAAAAGAAAUUCGCUCAAGGAUGGGCUCGCGUCUGAUUAGAUAGUUGGUGAGGUAACGGCUCACCAAGUCGACGAUCAGUAGCCGGACUGAGAGGUUGAACGGCCACAUUGGGACUGAGACACGGCCCAGACUCCUACGGGAGGCAGCAGUGGGGAAUAUUGCACAAUGGGGGGAACCCUGAUGCAGCGAUGCCGCGUGGAGGAAGAAGGUUUUCGGAUUGUAAACUCCUUUUAACAGGGACGAUAAUGACGGUACCUGAAGAAAAAGCUCCGGCUAACUACGUGCCAGCAGCCGCGGUAAUACGUAGGGAGCGAGCGUUGUCCGGAAUUACUGGGUGUAAAGGGAGCGUAGGCGGGACGGUAAGUCAGGUGUGAAAUAUACGUGCUCAACAUGUAGACUGCACUUGAAACUGCUGUUCUUGAGUGAAGUAGAGGUAAGCGGAAUUCCUAGUGUAGCGGUGAAAUGCGUAGAUAUUAGGAGG
rnacentral:rRNA from 1 species